UUGCUCUCUUUUUUGUAGUGUCUUCCACCAUUUGAGAAUUUCUCUCAGGGACCCACCCUGCAGUUCACCCUGCGCUGGACCAGCGAUUCCUGUGAUCGUUCCACAGCACCUGUGGCUAAACCUCUGGCCACCCGCAACUCCGAGACCAACCAGGACACCAGACCAAGCACCCUGAGAGCCACACACACUCUGGCUGUUAAAGAAUCAAUAAAUGCUGAUGUUCAAACCAGAAGAGAACAAAUCUCAGCUGAGCCCCGACAGAAGCUACGCAUCUUUUACCAGUUCCAGUACAACAACAACACUCGGCAGCAGACGGAGGCUAGAGAUGACCUCCACUGUCCCUGGUGUACCCUCAACUGCAGGAAGCUCUACAGUCUGAUCAAACACCUCAAACUGUCUCACUCCCGCUUCAUCUUCAAC